rnacentral:rRNA from 1 species
UAGGGAAUCUUCCACAAUGGGCGCAAGCCUGAUGGAGCAACACCGCGUGAGUGAAGAAGGGUUUCGGCUCGUAAAGCUCUGUUGUUAAAGAAGAACACGUAUGAGAGUAACUGUUCAUACGUUGACGGUAUUUAACCAGAAAGCCACGGCUAACUACGCGCCAG